GAUGAACGCUGGCGGCGUGCCUAAUACAUGCAAGUCGAGCGAACAGACGAGGAGCUUGCUCCUCUGACGUUAGCGGCGGACGGGUGAGUAACACGUGGAUAACCUACCUAUAAGACUGGGAUAACUUCGGGAAACCGGAGCUAAUACCGGAUAACAUAUAGAACCGCAUGGUUCAAUAGUGAAAGAUGGUUUUGCUGUCACUUAUAGAUGGAUCCGCGCCGCAUUAGCUAGUUGGUAAGGUAACGGCUUACCAAGGCAACGAUGCGUAGCCGACCUGAGAGGGUGAUCGGCCACACUGGAACUGAGACACGGUCCAGACUCCUACGGGAGGCAGCAGUAGGGAAUCUUCCGCAAUGGGCGAAAGCCUGACGGAGCAACGCCGCGUGAGUGAUGAAGGUCUUCGGAUCGUAAAACUCUGUUAUUAGGGAAGAACAAAUGUGUAAGUAACUAUGCACGUCUUGACGGUACCUAAUCAGAAAGCCACGGCUAACUACGUG
rnacentral:rRNA from 1 species